GGCUUGUUUUCCGUUGCCUGAG
rnacentral:miRNA from 1 species